UGGGUGGCGCCAGUUAGGGAGCGCGGGUGCCCGCGGAGCAGGCUACCUCCGGGCGGGCAGGGGCCGGGGGUUGAGAAAAAGGGGGAGGGGGCGCCGGGGCGGGGCUUCCCGGGAGGGCGUGGCCUCGCCUCUCGGGCGUUCCGGGGCGGCCGAGCGAGCGCGCGCGGCCCCUGCGCACUCGGCCACCCGCUGCCGGCGUUGCGGGAAGCGCUGCGUUGUCGCCUCCGCAGCCCGCGAGCCCAGCCCCGGGAGGACGAACUCCUCCGCGGUGUCCGCGCCCGUGCCCCGAGCUCCGAGCCUGUCCGCCGCAGGUCGGAGGCGACGAGAGCUGGAGAAGAUGAGCAGACCUGCCGCUUUCCACUGACUGGCAGCGAUGGCGUUUGCUGAAGGAGUCAACAGCAGCAGCAACAGGUAAAAAUGAAAUCUGUAAUUAAAAGACAUGGCAAUAUUUGCUUUUUGAAUCUACUUUCCAACAUAUAAGUUCGGUCUUUUCAUUUUUGCAAUUUAUGAACCCUCCUGUGCAGGACUCCUGU
rnacentral:lncRNA from 1 species